rnacentral:SRP_RNA from 1 species
GUGGGUGUGGCUCACGCCUGUAAUCCCAGCGACUGGGGAGGCUGAGGCGGGCGGAUCGCUUGAGUUCAGGAGUUCUGGGCUGCAGGGCGCUAGGCCGAACGGGGGUUUGCACUACGUUUGGCCUCAAUAUGUUGCGCCUUGGGGAGCGAGGGGUGAUGCCAGGUUGUCUAACAAAAAGUGAAACGGAGCAGGUCAAAACUCCGGCACUGAUCAGUAGUGGGAUCGCCCUUGUGACUAGUCCCUGCAGCGCAGCCUGGGCGACACAGCGAGACACCGUCUCU